rnacentral:rRNA from 1 species
GAUGAACGCUGGCGGCGUGCUUAACACAUGCAAGUCGAACGGGAAACCUUUUAUUGAAGCUUCGGCAGAUUUAGCUGGUUUCUAGUGGCGGACGGGUGAGUAACGCGUGGGUACCCUGCCUUAUACAGGGGGAUAACAGUCAGAAAUGGCUGCUAAUACCGCAUAAGCGCACAGAGCUGCAUGGCUCAGUGUGAAAAACUCCGGUGGUAUAAGAUGGACCCGCGUUGGAUUAGCUGGUUGGUGGGGUAACGGCCCACCAAGGCGACGAUCCAUAGCCGGCCUGGGAGGGUGAACAGCCACAUUGGGACUGAGACACGGCCCAGACUCCUACGGGAGGCAGCAGUGGGGAAUAUUGCACAAUGGGAGAAACCCUGAUGCAGCGACGCCGCGUGAAGGAAGAAGUAUCUCGGUAUGUAAACUUCUAUCAGCAGGGAAGAGAAUGACGGUACCUGACUAAGAAGCCCCGGCUAACUACGUG